AAUGUAGCGGUAUUUGUGUUAAAAAUGUUUAACAUUCUUAAGAUUUUAAGAUCAAGUAUGCUUACAAUUGUAUUAUUAUUAUAUUUAAAUUACCUAUAAAUGGAAAUAUCUGUAAUUUGUUAACUAUUCUGUGUUAGGAAACAUCAUUAUACUUGGAAUAAUUAUGAUUACAAUAAGGUAAUUUUGUAAAAUAAAUCUAAAUUUAGUAUUUUUUUGUUUGUUCAUGUAUCGUGUGAUAAAAUCAUUAGAAAUCAUAAACUGACAUUGAACCGUGUUGUUGUAUUAAAGUAAGAUAAUUAGGCUUCCAAUGUUAGACUUACUUUUAAUCUUAACUUAUUAUUGAUCAUGUGAUUAUUUGUCAUUUAUAGACAAUGAUUUUAAGAUAACUUUUAUUUUUUGGGGUAAAGAUUGCACGAAAUGCAAUCAAAAUUCUAUGAUACUGACUUGAUAUCUAUAUCUUCCAAGGUUUAUCACUACCUUUAAUAAUUCAAACAAAAUAGUGCAGUUAAGUGAUCAUUAUUAAGAUCCUAUCCAGUCAAUGUUAUGCAAUUUAUUGAUGAUAUGUUAUACUUUGAUAUUUAUGUAAUAAUAUGAUGUGUAUUUCAAUUGCAAUACUUGUCAAAAGAACAUUUUUUAUUAAAAAUUAAAUAAGUAAUGCAUGGUGUAUGAAUCUGUUAUAAAGAUAGGUUCAACUACAAAUGUAAAAAGGAAGAUAACUCCCAACUAAAUAUUUUGAUUUGCCUAGCAAAAUACAAUUUGAUAUUUUAUUAUUGCAAAAUGAAAGUAAUCUUUACCCUUCAUUGAUUAUUUUAUGCCAGAAAUCAUUGAUACAAAUUUUAAAUUUAAGUCAUAAGGAUUUAGUAUUGACUUCAGUAAGAAUAAAGUUGAGUGGUUAUUGGAAUAUUAGAGGUGUUUGUCCACUGUCUUAUUGGAAUAUCAGAGGUGUUUGUCCACUGUCUUAUUGGAAUAUCAGAGGUGUUUGUCCACUGUCUUAUUGGAAUAUCAGAGGUGUUUGUCCACUGUCUUAUUGGAAUAUCAGAGGUGUUUGUCCACUGUCUUAUUGAAAUAUCAGAGGUGUUUGUCCACUGUCUGUUUUCAGAAAUUACCAGAAAUACAGCCUUAUAAAGUGUGUCGUUACAUCGCUGUCCUAGGAGGGGAGGCACCACAGACAUAUUCAACCCACAAUAUUCUAUAUAUACCUGUUCCAAGUCAGGAACCUAUAAUUCAGUAGUUGUUGUUUGUGGCUUUAUAUCAUAUUUCAUUUACAGUUAUGUACAUAAACCAGGUUGUUUAAUCAUUUGUUUGAAUUGUUUUGUUAUGUUGAAGCUUGUUAUAACAUCAAUGUCAGUGGUCUCUAGUGGAAAGUUUUCUCAUUGGCAAUCAUACCUUAUCUUAUUUUUAUUAGAAUUUGAUUUGUAGAUGCAUUUUGAACAGACUGGCUAGUUUAACUAGGGUAAAGAUCAAUUGACUCAUAUUUUCUAGCUCACCUGGCCCAAAGGGCCAAGUGAGCUUUUCUCAUCACUUGGCGUCCGUCGUCGUUAGCUUUUACAAAAAUCUUCUCCUCUGAAACCACUGUGCCAAAUUUAACCAAACUUGGCCACAAUCAUCAUUAGGGUAUCUAGUUUAAAAAAUGUGUCCGAUGACCCUGCUUACCAUCCAAGAUGGCUGCAACGGCUAAAAAUAGAACAUAGGGGUAAAAUGUAGAUUUUGGCUUAUAUCUCUGAAACCAAAGCAUUUAGAGUAAAUCUGACAUAGGGUAAAACUGAUUAUCAGGUCAAGAUCUAUCUGCCCUGAAAUUGUCAGACAAAUCUGACAACCCAUUGUUGGGUUGCUGCCCCUGAAUUGGUAAUUUUAAGGAAAUUUUGCAGUUUUUGGUUAUUAUCUUGAAUAUUAUUAUAGAUAGAGAUAAACUGUAAACAGCAAUAAUGUUCAGCAAAGUAAGAUCUACAAAUAAGUUGUCAAUGACCAAAAUUGUCAGUCGACCCCUUUAGGAGUUAUUGCCCUUUAUAGUCAAUUUUUAACAAUUUUUCGUAAAUUUUUGUAAUCUUUUACAAAAAUCUUCUUCUCUGAAACUACUGAGACAAAUUUAACCAUACUUGGCCAUAAUCAUUAUUAAGGUAUUUAGUUUAAAAAAUUUGUCCGAUGACCCCAACUUCCAACCAUCAUGGCCGACAUGGUUAGAAAUAGAACAUUGGGGUAAAAUGCAGUUUUUGGUUUAUAUCUCUGAAACUAAAGCAUUUAGAGCAAAUCUGACAGGUUGCAAAAAUGUUCAUCAGAUUUAGAUUUAUCUGCCCUGAAAUUUUCAGACUAAUCCGACAACCCGUUGUUGGGUUGCGGCCCCUGAGUUAGUAAAUUUACAGAAAUUUUGCAGUUUUUAGUUAUUAUCUUAGAUAUCAUUAUAAUAUCUAAUAUCUAAUACUAUUAAUUAUGAUUUUAACCUUAUUUUACAUGAUUUCCAAAGCAUCAGUAAAUACAGGUGAGCGACACAGGCUCUUGAGAGCCUCUAGUUAUAAUAUUCAAUGGCUUUGGUUAAAUUUUUGGCUCUAUUACUUUUAUAAAUUUUUACAUCCAUGUUCAGUAGUUUUCAUUUGAACUUCAUUGAUUUCAACUAAGUUUAACAUCCCAUUUUACAUCAAACAUACCAAAAUCAUAUAACUUUGUGUUAACAUAAUGAAACAUCUAGGAGAGAAUAAUUGUAUCUCACAAAAAGUAGCUUACUCUUUAAGGAUUUAAGUUUCACUGACUUGUAUUUAUUUUUAUGUCCAAGCUUUGUGAAAAAUAAAAAUGUGUCUGACAGGGUAUGAAACUGCAAAUGAAAAAAAAAGGUUUCUUUGACCUAUAUUAUUAUCAUAUAUAUAUAUUUAAAAGGUUUAUUGUUAUAUUUAUUGUUUCAGGACUUUUAAUUAUCUCAGUUUGAGUUGUUUUUUGUUUUUUUUUAUCUUGUUUUGUUUUAUUGUAAAUUGAACUUUUAAAAUUAAAUAAAAGUGCCAAGUUUUAA